rnacentral:rRNA from 1 species
UAGGGAAUCUUCGGCAAUGGGGGGAACCCUGACCGAGCAACGCCGCGUGAGUGAAGAAGGUUUUCGGAUCGUAAAGCUCUGUUGUUAAGGAAGAACGAGUGUGAGAAUGGAAAGUUCAUGCUGUGACGGUACUUAACCAGAAAGGGACGGCUAACUACGUGCCAGCAGCCGCGGUAAUACGUAGGUGGCAAGCGUUGUCCGGAUUUAUUGGGCGUAAAGCGAGCGCAGGCGGUCAAUUAAGUCUGAUGUGAAAGCCCCCGGCUCAACCGGGGAGGGUCAUUGUAAACUGGUUGACUUGAGUGCAGAAGAGGAGAGUGGAAUUCCAUGUGUAGCGGUGAAAUGCGUAGAUAUAUGGAGGAACACCGGUGGAGAAAGCGGCUCUAUGGUCUGUAACUGACGCUGAGGAUCGAAAGCGUGGGGAGCGAACAGG